rnacentral:rRNA from 1 species
GUCCGCCUGCCCUGUGACUAUAUGUUCAACGGCCGCGGUAUUUUGACCGUGCGAAGGUAGCGUAAUCACUUGUCUUUUAAAUGGAGACCUGUAUGAAUGGCAUAACGAGGGCUUAACUGUCUCCUCUUUCAAGUCAAUGAAAUUGAUCUUCCCGUGCAGAAGCGGGAAUAACAACAUAAGACGAGAAGACCCUAUGGAGCUUUAGAUAAUAAGGCAGAUCAUGUUAAACACCCUCCCACAAGAGGCUAAACUAGAUGAAACCUGCCCUAAUGUCUUUGGUUGGGGCGACCGCGGCGAAAUAAAAAACCCCCGCGUGGAAAGAGGGCACCCUUACCCUCCAAAUCAAGAGCUCCCGCUCUAAUAAACAGAACAUCUGACCUAUAAGAUCCGGCAACGCCGAUCAACGGACCGAGUUACCCUAGGGAUAACAGCGCAAUCCCCUUCUAGAGCCCAUAUCGACAAGGGGGCUUACGACCUCGAUGUUGGAUCAGGACAUCCUAAUGGUGCAGCCGCUAUUAAGGGUUCGUUUGUUCAACGAUUAAAGUCCUACGUGAUCUG